CUGCCAGUCGAACGGAAACAUGUCUAGCUUGCUAGAUGAUGUCGAGUGGCGGACGGGUGAGUAAUGCUUGGGAACUUGCCUUUGCGAGGGGGAUAACAGUUGGAAACGACUGCUAAUACCGCAUAAUGUCUACGGACCAAACAGGGCUUCGGCUCUGGCGCAAAGAGAGGCCCAAGUGAGAUUAGCUAGUUGGUGAGGUAAAGGCUCACCAAGGCAACGAUCUCUAGCUGUUCUGAGAGGAAGAUCAGCCACACUGGGACUGAGACACGGCCCAGACUCCUACGGGAGGCAGCAGUGGGGAAUAUUGCACAAUGGGGGAAACCCUGAUGCAGCCAUGCCGCGUGUGUGAAGAAGGCCUUCGGGUUGUAAAGCACUUUCAGUUGUGAGGAAAAGUUAGUAGUUAAUACCUGCUAGCCGUGACGUUAACAACAGAAGAAGCACCGGCUAACUCCGUGCCAGCAGCCGCGGUAAUACGGAGGGUGCGAGCGUUAAUCGGAAUUACUGGGCGUAAAGCGCACGCAGGCGGUUUGUUAAGCUAGAUGUGAAAGCCCCGGGCUCAACCUGGGACGGUCAUUUAGAACUGGCAGACUAGAGUCUUGGAGAGGGGAGUGGAAUUCCAGGUGUAGCGGUGAAAUGCGUAGAUAUCUGGAGGAACAUCAGUGGCGAAGGCGACUCCCUGGCCAAAGACUGACGCUCAUGUGCGAAAGUGUGGGUAGCGAACAGGAUUAGAUACCCUGGUAGUCCACACCGUAAACGCUGUCUACUAGCUGUUUGUGACUUUAAGUCGUGAGUAGCGAAGCUAACGCGAUAAGUAGACCGCCUGGGGAGUACGGCCGCAAGGUUAAAACUCAAAUGAAUUGACGGGGGCCCGCACAAGCGG
rnacentral:rRNA from 1 species